AUACAAUUUCUUUACCAAUAGAUAAGACUGAAAGCAACACCAGCCAGUCUUGGGAAAUAUAAAGUCACAAAUACAUUUUGAUAAUUUUUCAUUUUGUAAAGGAUCUUUCUGCUGAUGCAGCUGUUAAGAGUGUUUCAUAAACUGUGACAACACUGAGAGGCCAGGUGCAGUGCAUGUAAUCCCAGCACUUUGGGAGACUGAGAUGGGAAGAUCGCUUGAGGCCAGGAGUGCAAGACCAGCCUGGGCAACACAGCAAGACCUUGACUCUACUAAAAAAAAAAAAGGAUCCUUCAACUUCAACAAUAAUAACACGAGGGAAGUGAAGAAAAACACUUUCUAAGGAAAUCUCUCUCUGAGCUACCAUCCUGCUAGGGAGAGCCUGAAAGCAGAAUGCUGACUUGACUAGCUCUGGUCAAUGAAAGAAAUCACUAGUGGAAAGGCUACCAGGGGGCUUUCUCAAAAGAGAGGGACAGU
rnacentral:antisense_RNA from 1 species